UUUAAACUUUGUAGUGAUUUGAAGUUAAUCAAAACUAAACUUUUAGUAUGGUAAUCCAAAUGUACAACUCAAAAUUAAAUUUAAUAUUUGUUUAACCCAGCAAAAAACAUUAAACUAUAAUAGAAAUAGUAAUUUAGUUCAGUUUUAAAGUCUAGACUAAUUAGGUGCCAGCAGUCGCGGUCAAACCUAAUAGACAAUUAACCUUUUCAGACCAGCUAUAAAGGAAAAUUUUUAUAAUUAAGUAAAAUUUUUAUAAAACAAUCAUUCUAUACCUUUAUUAAUCCGCUCAAUCUCUGAACCUAAACUAGGAUUAGAUACCCUACUAUAUAGAGUAUAAAUUUUAGGUCUAAGCACUAUUACUAAAAAGUUAAAACUUAAACUACAUGGCGGCUAUUAGAAAUUUUAGGGGAACUUGCCAAAUUAAUGAUAAUCCCCAAAAUAACACUACUUCUAUUUUACAGCUUGUAUAUCGCCGUCUUCAGACUUCAUUUUUGAUGAACCCAGAAAGUAAAAUUACAAUAAGACAGGUCUUGAUGCAGCCCAUAUAGAAGAUUUAGGUGAGUUACAAUAAAAACUAUAUGUAAAUUUUCUUUGAAACUAAAGAAAUGAAAAUGGACUUAAAAGUAAAUGUUAUAAUAAACAUUAAUUGAAUUACAAAACUAAUUGUGCACAAAUCGCCCGUCACUUUCGUUGAAAAAUGAAAUAAGUCGUAACACAGUAGGUGUACUGGAAAGUGCACCUGUCUUUAU
rnacentral:ncRNA from 1 species